UUAAGUUACGGAAGUUUCGGAUGGAAGUUUAGAACUAGUGGCGGACGGGUGAGUAACGCGUGGGUAACCUGCCUACAUACAGGGGGAUAACAGUUAGAAAUGACUGCUAAGACCGCAUAAUAUAGCGAAACCGCAUGAUUUUUGCUAUCAAAUAUUUAUAGGUAUGAGAUGGGCCCGCGUCUGAUUAGCUAGUUGGUGGGGUAAAAGCCUACCAAGGCGACGAUCAGUAGCCGGCUUGAGAGAGUGACCGGCCACAUUGGGACUGAGACACGGCCCAAACUCCUACGGGAGGCAGCAGUGGGGAAUAUUGGACAAUGGGGGAAACCCUGAUCCAGCGACGCCCGCGUGAGUGAAGAAGUAUUUCGGUAUGUAAAGCUCUAUCAGCAGGGAAGAUAAUGACAGUACCUGACUAAGAAGCCCCGGCUAACUACGUGCCAGCAGCAGC
rnacentral:rRNA from 1 species